rnacentral:rRNA from 1 species
AGGGCAUACGGUGGAUGCCUUGGCACAAGAAGUCGAUGAAGGACGUGACAAGCUGCGAUAAGCUGCGGUGAGCUGCACAUAGGCGUUAUUAACCGCAGAUUUCCGAAUGGGGCAACCCGGAUGAGGUAAUGCUCAUCCACUUCCAUCUGAAUCAAAUAGGAUGGCUAGAGACAACCCGGAGAACUGAAACAUCUAAGUACCCGGAGGAAAAGAAAUCAACCGAGAUUGCGCUAGUAGCGGCGAGCGAACGCGCACCUAGCCUAAACCCAUGCAUGUGUAAGUUUCAGGACGUUGCUGCAUGUGGUGUCGUGGGGUCGUCUUUGUGGGAGCCUGUACCUCCCAUGCGCAGUUACAAAAUCCAUUCAUAGUCGAAGUGGUCUGGAAAGUCCUACCAGAGAAGGUAAUAGUCCUGUAAGCGAAAUGAAUGGGUCUGCGUCGAGAUGAUACCCGAGUAAUGCCGGACACGUGAAAUCCGGUAUGAAUCCAGGGAGACCACUCUCUAAGGCUAAAUACUCUCUUGUGACCGAUAGCGAACCAGUACCGUGAGGGAAAGGUGAAAAGUACCCCGAGAGGGGAGUGAAAUAGUACCUGAAACCGUAUGCCUACAAGCAGUCGGAGCACUCUUGCAGUGUGACGGCGUGCCUUUUGUAGAAUGAGCCAGCGAGUUACGAUGUGCGGCGAGGUUAAGUUUUGAAACGAGCCGUAGUGAAAGCGAGCCUUUAAGAUGGCGUCAUAGUCGUAUGUCGUAGACGCGAAGCCGGGUGAUCUAUCCAUGGGCAGGCUGAAGCAGAGGUAAGACUCUGUGGAGGGCCGAACCCACUUCGGUUGAAAACGGAGGGGAUGACCUGUGGAUAGGGGUGAAAGGCCAAUCAAACUCGGAGAUAUCUCGUUCUCCCCGAAAUAGCUUUAGGGCUAGCCUCGAAUCGUUUACUUACGGUGGUAGAGCCACUGGAUUCGUGCGGGGGCUUCACCGCCUACCAACCGAAACCAAACUCCGAAUGCCGUAAGUCUAUAGAUCGGGAGUCAGAACAUGUGGGCUAAGCCGUGUGUUCGAGAGGGAAACAGCCCAGACCGCCUGCUAAGGUCCCUAAAUUCAUGCUAAGUGGCAAAGGAUGUGCGUUUGCCUAGACAACCAGGAUGUUGGCUUAGAAGCAGCCAUGCAUUUAAAGAGUGCGUAACAGCUCACUGGUCAAGUGGACAUGCGCCGACAAUUCACGGGGCUCAAGCAUGAUACCGAAGCAGCGGACUGAUAUUUUUCAGUGGUAGGGGAGCUUUCUUAUCUGGGUCGAAGCUGUGUGGCAACGCAUGGUGGACUGGUAAGAAGUGAGAAUGCUGGCAUGAGUAACGAGAGUGAGGCGAGAAACCUCACCGCCGUAAGCCUAAGGGUUCCUGGGCAAGGCUAAUCCUCCCAGGGUCAGUCGGGAGCUAAGACGAGGCCGACAGGCGUAGUCGAUGCACAACAGGUUGAUAUUCCUGUACCACCACGAAUCGUUAUGACGAUGGGGUGACGGAGAAGGAUAGCUGGGCGGGGUUCUGGACGUCCCCGUGAAAGCGUGUAGGGUGCGCAUGCAGGUAAAUCCGCAAGCGCUUAUGCCUGAGACGUGAGACGAAGCUCUAAGUGAAGUCAGUGAUUCCCUGCUUCCAAGAAAAACCUCUAAGCAGAUAUCGUGGUGCCCGUACCAAAACCGACACAGGUAGGCGGGUAGAGUAUACCAAGGCGAUCGGGAGAACUAUGGUUAAGGAACUCGGCAUAAUGACUCCGUAACUUCGGGAGAAGGAGUGCCGCUCAUGGGUGAUAGGGCAUGCCCCUAAAAGCCUAGGGCGGUCGCAGUGAAACGGCCCAAGCGACUGUUUAUCAAAAACACAGGACUCUGCUAAGUCGCAAGACGAUGUAUAGGGUCUGACGCCUGCCCGGUGCUGGAAGGUUACGUGGAUGGGUUAGCCUUUUUGGGCGAAGCUCUGAAACUAAGCCCCAGUAAACGGCGGCCGUAACUAUAACGGUCCUAAGGUAGCGAAAUUCCUUGUCGGGUAAGUUCCGACCUGCACGAAUGGCGUAACGAUUUGGGCGCUGUCUCAACCAUAGACCCGGUGAAAUUGUAUUAUUCGUGAAGAUGCGAAUUACCCACGGAAGGACGGAAAGACCCCGUGAACCUUCACUACAGCUUGACAUUGAUCAUUGGUUCUGUGUGUAGAGGAUAGGUGGGAGACCGUGAAGCACGAGCGCCAGCUCGUGUGGAGUCAUCCUUGGAAUACCACCCUCACAGUAUUGGUGAUCUAACGCGGCGCCGUUAUCCGGGUCGCGGACCGUGUCAGGUGGGUAGUUUGACUGGGGCGGUCGCCUC